rnacentral:piRNA from 1 species
UAGUGCUCAGUAGGUUCAUGGAGGACAC